GUGAAACCUAGAGAGCUUUGAUUGAAUUAUUGUUAAGCUUUGUUUGAUUGAUUGAAUAAGAGAAAGACUUCUUAUUAUUGUCUUGAGAUAGCUUUGUGAUUCUAUAGAAGUUACAUUUUAUUAAGAAAAGUUGUUAUUUCUUGGUUUAACACAUGAAUUACAUUUUAUUUAAAAAUUUUGAUUUGUGACAAAAUAGUAACUAAAAUAUAUCUACCAAAUGCAUAUCAGAGAAAUAAGUCUGACUAGUAGAAGAAGAUGUAUUUCAUUGAUAAUUAACAGAGAACUAAAAUUUAUCUUUCAAUGUUGUAAAUAUUCAAUUGUAAUAUAAACAUUUACCAUGAUACAUGAUUGUACAAUUUAAUUAGAGAAAGUAAAGUUGAAAAUUUUGUAUUUUUUAUUUAAUAUAGAACGUACUAUUCGACGAUCUAAUC
rnacentral:lncRNA from 1 species